UGGAAGCUGGUGGUUCAGGAAAUAGUUAAGUUUCGAAAAGCUUACCCAGCUUUUAUGAAUAUCAGGCCAUUGAGAUAUAGUGUUGUAUUGGACCUUCAUCCAGAUUGCCUGCCACAAGUUGUUGAAGCAAAGAGAAAGCUAAGAUUACGAGAUGCACUGCUCUGCAGCUACCAUCCCAAUGAGGUUAAGUAUUCAGAAUUGACUCUUGAUACUUUCCGGAUGCUACAAUGUCUGGAAUGGGAACCUAGUGGGUCAUUUUAUCAGACAGGCAGGGUUCCUCCAAGUGGGGUUGGAACUGGUAUUGGCCAGAAUGGAGCUCCAGGGCCCAGUCGUGUUAAUUAUUCACAAGAUAUAUCUGAUCCUACUCUACCUCCUAAUCCUCGCAAGUCCAUCUUAUAUCGUCCAUCUGUUACAAAUUAUUUAGCGGUCUUGGCCACAAACUGUGAGGAGCUACCUCAUGAUGGAGUUCUUUUACUAUAUUUGUCUGCUGCAGGCAGCUCUCAGAACUCUUUUUCUUCUCCAUCCCACGGUGCAGGGAGGAGCUUUAUGUCUCGUGUUGGCGACUCAGAAGCCUCCUCUACAUCUUCACUGAACGUUGAAUUUGAAAUCGCAAAUCCCAUUUCUGCCAAGGGGAAUUGCUUGAGUGAGCAGAGUAGUUGCUUAUACAUUGGUUCUCGUUCCAGUAGAGGUCUGAAUGGGAUUUAUCCAUGUGACUUGUUGCCAUUCACUAGAAGACCACUCUUUUUGGUCAUUGACAGUGAUAUCAGUAAAUCAUUCACGGCAUUAAGUGGAUCAGAGAAGGGAGAAUCAGUUAUCAUGCUACUCUCUCCUGCUAUGUCACUGCCUAUACCUACUGUGGACUCUUCACGACAGCUGAGUGGAAGCUCAUUCACAAGUUUUCUUACAGUUCCUUUACAGGCUUUCGUUUUGAUGCUUGGUUUCACGGGUUCUGACAUUGACAUGGAUAUGUAUGAUAAGGCUGACAAACUUCUUUCUUCAUCAUUAAAUGAGUGGGGUUUGUUAUUAGCAGCAUCAGAUAAUCUUGAUCCUGUUUGGGCUCAAACUCUUGGAGAUCCAUUUUUACGGCGGCUUAUUUUAAGAUUCAUUUUCUGUCGGACAGUGCUGGCGCUGUAUGCUCCAACCUUCAACAAGACAGAAUUUCUCCCUGAAUGCAUCCCUUCCCUUCCAGAUGCUUUCCUGCCAACUAGUGACACAUGUCAAAGGAUAGUAUUGCAACUUGCUGACAUCUUUGGUGCAACCAGCAAGUUCAAUUUUUCAGAAGAGACGCCGAUGCUUUCUGAUAGCAGAUGCCAGGAGAAUUGAACUUGGCAACUAAUUUUUAUUUUAUUGGGUCAAUUCUGGUAGCUUUGUAAAUUGAUUUGAAAAUGAGGAGGCUUCUUUGGUUUGUCCCUUCUCUAAUGUUUGUCUGUGGGGUUCUGUAGGUUGAUAUAUAUACUUGUCCAGUUAGUCAUAUGUGAUGCUUGUGAAGUCUGAACAAUGGUUCCUCCAACAUUCCCAGUUUGAUUGAUAUCCCAAAUGUUUUCAACGCGAGCUGCGAUCAUGCUACAAUCUGUAUUGGCUAAACUCUCUUCUAUACAUCUUUCUAUAGUUUCUUUUUCGCUCAAAUGUUUCAUAUGUUCAUGUGGAAAUCAGGUAAAGAAGGAUUUAGUUCUUCUUGGAGGUGUAUUUAAGAAGUCAGCUGUGAGGGUGUUUGGUUAAUUGUUUGUA
rnacentral:misc_RNA from 1 species